rnacentral:rRNA from 1 species
AUACAGAGGGUGCGAGCGUUAAUCGGAAUUACUGGGCGUAAAGCGCGCGUAGGCGGUUACGUAAGUCGGAUGUGAAAGCCCCGGGCUUAACCUGGGAAUUGCAUUCGAAACUGCGUAGCUAGAGUCUGAUAGAGGGAAGUGGAAUUUCCGGUGUAGCGGUGAAAUGCGUAGAUAUCGGAAGGAACAUCAGUGGCGAAGGCGGCUUCCUGGAUCAAGACUGACGCUCAGGUGCGAAAGCGUGGGGAGCAAACAGGAUUAGAUACCCGGGUAGUCC